rnacentral:rRNA from 1 species
AGGUAAGCUACUAAGAGCGAAUGGUGGAUGCCUUGACUGGUAAAGGCGAUGAAGGACGUACUAGACUGCGAUAAGCUACGGGGAGCUGUCAAGAAGCUUUGAUCCGUAGAUUUCCGAAUGGGGCAACCCAAUGUAUAGAGAUAUACAUUACCUAUAUAGGAGCGAACGAGGGGAAUUGAAACAUCUUAGUACCCUCAGGAAAAGAAAUCAAUAGAGAUUGCGUCAGUAGCGGCGAGCGAAAGCGCAAGAGGGCAAACCCAGUGCUUGCACUGGGGGUUGUAGGACUGCAAUGUGCAAGAGGUAAGUUUAGCAGAACAUUCUGGAAAGUAUAACCAUAGAGGGUGAUAGUCCCGUAUGCGAAAAACAAACCUUAGCUAGCAGUAUCCUGAGUAGGGCGGGACACGAGGAAUCCUGUCUGAAUCCGGGUCGACCACGAUCCAACCCUAAAUACUAAUACCAGAUCGAUAGUGCACAAGUACCGUGAGGGAAAGGUGAAAAGAACUGAGGUGAUCAGAGUGAAAUAGAACCUGAAACCAUUUGCUUACAAUCAUUCAGAGCCCUAUGUAGCAAUACAGGGUGAUGGACUGCCUUUUGCAUAAUGAGCCUGCGAGUUGUGGUGUCUGGCAAGGUUAAGCAAACGCGAAGCCGUAGCGAAAGCGAGUCUGAAUAGGGCGCUUAGUCAGAUGCUGCAGACCCGAAACGAAGUGAUCUAUCCAUGAGCAAGUUGAAGCUAGUGUAAGAACUAGUGGAGGACUGAACCCAUAGGCGUUGAAAAGCCCCGGGAUGACUUGUGGAUAGGGGUGAAAGGCCAAUCAAACUUCGUGAUAGCUGGUUCUCUCCGAAAUAUAUUUAGGUAUAGCGUUGUGUCGUAAUAUAAGGGGGUAGAGCACUGAAUGGGCUAGGGCAUACACCAAUGUACCAAACCCUAUCAAACUCCGAAUACCUUAUAUGUAAUCACAGCAGUCAGGCGGCGAGUGAUAAAAUCCGUCGUCAAGAGGGAAACAACCCAGACUACCAGCUAAGGUCCCUAAAUCUUACUUAAGUGGAAAACGAUGUGAAGUUACUUAAACAACCAGGAGGUUGGCUUAGAAGCAGCCAUCCUUUAAAGAAAGCGUAAUAGCUCACUGGUCUAGUGAUUUUGCGCGGAAAAUAUAACGGGGCUAAAGUAAGUACCGAAGCUGUAGACUUGCACACAACUUAGAUUAUUUAAGUUUAGAAUAUGAGAAACUAAGUUAUAUGUUUAGUUAUAUUUUUACUGAUUUUUAUAGAGUAAAGAUAGAAAUAAAACUUAGUAAAAUCAGUAAAAAUAUUCUUAGACUAAAGUUAAGUAGUUUAAGUUGUGUGCAAGUGGUAGGAGAGCGUUCUAUUUGCGUCGAAGGUAUACCGGUAAGGAGUGCUGGAGCGAAUAGAAGUGAGCAUGCAGGCAUGAGUAGCGAUAAUUAAUGUGAGAAUCAUUAACGCCGUAAACCCAAGGUUUCCUACGCGAUGCUCGUCAUCGUAGGGUUAGUCGGGUCCUAAGUCGAGUCCGAAAGGGGUAGACGAUGGCAAAUUGGUUAAUAUUCCAAUACCAACAUUAGUGUGCGAUGGAAGGACGCUUAGGGCUAAGGGGGCUAGCGGAUGGAAGUGCUAGUCUAAGGUAGUAGGAGGUUAUACAGGCAAAUCCGUAUAACAAUACUCCGAGAACUGAAAGGCUUUUUGAAGUCUUCGGAUGGAUAGAAGAACCCCUGAUGCCGUCGAGCCAAGAAAAGUUUCUAAGUUUAGCUAAUGUUGCCCGUACCGUAAACCGACACAGGUGGGUGGGAUGAGUAUUCUAAGGCGCGUGGAAGAACUCUCUUUAAGGAACUCUGCAAAAUAGCACCGUAUCUUCGGUAUAAGGUGUGGUUAGCUUUGUAUUAGGAUUUACUCCGAAAGCAAGGAAACUUACAACAAAGAGUCCCUCCCGACUGUUUACCAAAAACACAGCACUCUGCUAACUCGUAAGAGGAUGUAUAGGGUGUGACGCCUGCCCGGUGCUCGAAGGUUAAUUGAUGGGGUUAGCAUUAGCGAAGCUCUUGAUCGAAGCCCGAGUAAACGGCGGCCGUAACUAUAACGGUCCUAAGGUAGCGAAAUUCCUUGUCGGUUAAAUACCGACCUGCAUGAAUGGCGUAACGAGAUGGGAGCUGUCUCAAAGAGGGAUCCAGUGAAAUUGUAGUGGAGGUGAAAAUUCCUCCUACCCGCGGCAAGACGGAAAGACCCCGUGGACCUUUACUACAGCUUGACACUGCUACUUGGAUAAGAAUGUGCAGGAUAGGUGGGAGGCUUUGAGUAUAUGACGCCAGUUGUAUAUGAGCCAUUGUUGAGAUACCACUCUUUCUUAUUUGGGUAGCUAACCAGCUUGAGUUAUCCUCAAGUGGGACAAUGUCUGGUGGGUAGUUUGACUGGGGCGGUCGCCUCCCAAAUAAUAACGGAGGCUUACAAAGGUUGGCUCAGAACGGUUGGAAAUCGUUCGUAGAGUAUAAAGGUAUAAGCCAGCUUAACUGCAAGACAUACAAGUCAAGCAGAGACGAAAGUCGGUCUUAGUGAUCCGGUGGUUCUGUGUGGAAGGGCCAUCGCUCAAAGGAUAAAAGGUACCCCGGGGAUAACAGGCUGAUCUCCCCCAAGAGCUCACAUCGACGGGGAGGUUUGGCACCUCGAUGUCGGCUCAUCGCAUCCUGGGGCUGGAGCAGGUCCCAAGGGUAUGGCUGUUCGCCAUUUAAAGCGGUACGCGAGCUGGGUUCAGAACGUCGUGAGACAGUUCGGUCCCUAUCUGCCGUGGGCGUAAGAAGAUUGAAGAGAUUUGACCCUAGUACGAGAGGACCGGGUUGAACAAACCACUGGUGUAGCUGUUGUUCUGCCAAGAGCAUCGCAGCGUAGCUAAGUUUGGAAAGGAUAAACGCUGAAAGCAUCUAAGCGUGAAGCCAACUCUAAGAUGAAUCUUCUCUAAGCUCUCUAGAAGACUACUAGUUUGAUAGGCUGGGUGUGUAAUGGAUGAAAGUCCUUUAGCUGACCAGUACUAAUAGAGCGUUUGGCUUAUCUUU